ACUACCCGCUGAACUUAAGCAUA
rnacentral:rRNA from 1 species